rnacentral:rRNA from 1 species
AAUAGAUACCCCCGGUAGUCCACGCCGUAAACGAUGGAUACUAGCUGUUCGUCCGCCUCGGCGGAUGAGUGGCUAAGCGAAAGUGAUAAGUAUCCCACCUGGGGAGUACGAACGCAAGUUUGAAACUCAAAGGAAUUGACGGGGGCCCGCACAAGCGGUGGAGCACGUGGUUUAAUUCGAUGAUACGCGAGGAACCUUACCAAGGCUUAAAUGUAGAUUGACAGGACUGGAAACAGUUUUUUCUUCGGACAAUUUACAAGGUGCUGCAUGGUUGUCGUCAGCUCGUGCCGUGAGGUGUCAGGUUAAGUCCUAUAACGAGCGCAACCCCUGUUGUUAGUUGCCAGUCGAGUCAAGUCGGGAACUCUAACAAGACUGCCAGUGUAAACUGUGAGGAAGUGGGGAUGACGUCAAAUCAUCACGGCCCUUACGCCUUGGGCUGCACACGUGCUACAAUGGCCGGUACAGAGAGCAGCCACUGCGCGAGCAGGAGCGAAUCUAUAAAACCGGUCACAGUUCGGAUCGGAGUCUGCAACUCGUACG